rnacentral:rRNA from 1 species
GAAGGGGGCCAAGCGUUAUUCGGGAAUCAUUGGGCUUAAAGCGCGCGUAGGCGGAAAGUUAAGUGCCUUGUGAAAUCCCUCAGCUCAACUGAGGAACUGCAGGGCAUACUGGCUUUCUUGAGACAAGUAGGGGUGCAUGGAACUCUGGGUGGAGCGGUGAAAUGCGUAGAUAUCCAGAGGAACGCCCGCGGAGAAAUCGGUGCACUGGGCUUGUUCUGACGCUGAGGUGCGAAGGCGUGGGUAGCGAACGGGAUUAGAUACCCCGGUAGUCCACGCCGUAAACGAUGUUUACUAGAUCAUGGGAGUUUUGACGCUUUCGUGGUCGAAGCAAAAGUGCUAAGUAAACCGCCUGGGGAGUACGGUCGCAAAGGCUAA